CCUACGGGAGGCAGCAGUGGGGAAUCUUAGACAAUGGGGGCAACCCUGAUCUAGCCAUGCCGCGUGAGUGAUGAAGGCCUUAGGGUCGUAAAGCUCUUUCGCCUGUGAUGAUAAUGACAGUAGCAGGUAAAGAAACCCCGGCUAACUCCGUGCCAGCAGCCGCGGUAAUACGGAGGGGGUUAGCGUUGUUCGGAAUUACUGGGCGUAAAGCGCGCGUAGGCGGAUUAGAAAGUUGGGGGUGAAAUCCCGGGGCUCAACCCCGGAACUGCCUCCAAAACUGCUAGUCUAGAGUUCGAGAGAGGUGAGUGGAAUUCCGAGUGUAGAGGUGAAAUUCGUAGAUAUUCGGAGGAACACCAGUGGCGAAGGCGGCUCACUGGCUCGAUACUGACGCUGAGGUGCGAAAGUGUGGGGAGCAAACAGGAUUAGAUACCCUGGUAGUCCACACCGUAAACGAUGAAUGCCAGUCGUCGGAUAGUAUACUAUUCGGUGACACACCUAACGGAUUAAGCAUUCCGCCUAGGGAGUACGGUCGCAAGAUUAAAACUCAAAUGAAUUGACGG
rnacentral:rRNA from 1 species